rnacentral:lncRNA from 1 species
AUAAAGAAAGGCAUGAACACAGCUCUUGCUAAAACAGUUUAUGAAAAUGAUGUCAUUGUGCAAUGGGACAAAGCGAAGGUGAUAAAGAAAGUUACUAAAGGAGAAGAUAGAAUGUUAGCAGAAGCUCUCCAGAUAAUAAAAAGUAAUAAGAAAGGAACUGCCAUUAAUGAGAACAUUUUACAUAUGACCUCGAAAGCAUGGGUAUAUGCUAUAAUAAAAAUGUAGACAAACAGCUCAAACUUAAAUGUUUGUCACAUGAAAAAUUAAAUUGUCAUUUAUUCCACAAUCUCCAAUUUUUCAAUUUUUCCACAAUUUCCAAUCUUCC